UACAGAGGGUACAAGCGUUGCUCGGAAUCAUUGGGCGUAAAGGGUAGGUAGGUGGUCUCAUUUGUCUAGGGUGAAAUCCUUGAGCUUAACUCAAGAAGUGCCCUGGAAACGGUGAGACUAGAGUCCUGGAGAGGGUCGUGGAAUUCCCGGUGUAGCGGUGAAAUGCGUAGAGAUCGGGAGGAACACCAGAGGCGAAGGCGGCGACCUGGACAGGUACUGACACUGAACUACGAAAGCGUGGGUAGCGAACAGG
rnacentral:rRNA from 1 species